GCUCUUAUGGUGAAAUGCCGUUAGCACAUCUGGACUUUGAAUCCAGCGAAUCCGGGCUCAAAUCCCGGCUAGGAGCU
rnacentral:tRNA from 1 species